UACAGAGGGUGCGAGCGUUGUCCGGAAUCACUGGGCGUAAAGGGCGCGUAGGUGGCGGCAUAAGGCCGCGGUGAAAGUUCGGGGCUCAACCCUGAAUCGGCCGCGGCGACUGUGUCGCUAGGGCACCGUAGAGGCAGAUGGAAUUCCGGGUGUAGCGGUGGAAUGCGUAGAGAUCCGGAAGAACACCAGUGGCGAAGGCGGUCUGCUGGGCGGUGGGUCCGCGAGGAUCCAAUAGCCGACACUGAGGCGCGACAGCGUGGGGAGCAAACAGG
rnacentral:rRNA from 1 species